UUGGGUGGCGGACGGGUGAGUAACGCGUAAAGAACUUGCCUCACAGCUAGGGACAACAUUUGGAAACGAAUGCUAAUACCUAAUAUUAUGAUAAUAGGGCAUCCUAUAAUUAUGAAAGCUAUAAGCGCUGUGAGAGAGCUUUGCGUCCCAUUAGCUAGUUGGAGAGGUAACGGCUCACCAAGGCGAUGAUGGGUAGCCGGCCUGAGAGGGUGAUCGGCCACAAGGGGACUGAGGCACGGCCCUUACUCCUACGGGAGGC
rnacentral:ncRNA from 1 species